CCUACGGGUGGCAGCAGUGGGGAAUAUUGCACAAUGGGGGAAACCCUGAUGCAGCAACGCCGCGUGAGUGAAGAAGUAUCUCGGUAUGUUAAACUCUAUCAACCGGGACGAAAGAAAUGACGGUACCUGAAUAAGAAGCCCCGGCUAACUACGUGCCAGCAGCCGCGGUAAUACGUAGGGGGCAAGCGUUAUCCGGAAUUACUGGGUGUAAAGGGUGAGUAGGCGGCAUGGUAAGCCAGAUGUGAAAGCCUUGGGCUUAACCCGAGGAUUGCAGUUGAAACUAUCAAGCUAGAGUACAGGAGAGGAAAGCGGAAUUCCUGGUGUAGCGGUGAAAUGCGUAGAUAUUAGGCAGAACACCAGUGGCGAAGGCGGCCUUCUGGACUGAAACUGACGCUGAGGCACGAAAGCGUGGGGAGCGAACAGGAUUAGAUACCCGGGUAGUC
rnacentral:rRNA from 1 species